AGACCGUCCGCCGAAUGGGUGGAGGCACCACCACCGGACCCUAAAUCGCCGGGGCUAACAGCUCAAGAGGGGGAAAGCUAGCCAUGGCUGCAUCCAGAGUCCAAAUCAGCUGCACCCUCCUCCUCAUCGUGUUUUGUUAGGAGUCUACUGAACAUUCCGUUCAGAAUGAGCCGUGGUUGUGACUCUGCAGGUGUGUUGCUGCUGGGGCAGGGGCAGGAGGGCAUGGAGGGCGCCAUCGCCUGCCCCCAGUACUGCCUGGAGGUGGACUACGUCACCUGCCCGUCCUCCGGCGCCGAGAAGCUCCCGGCGAGGUGCAACUGCUGCAUGACGACCAAAGGCUGCACGCUCCACCUCGCCGACGGCACACAGCAGACCUGCUAAAGCUCUGAAGCCUCCCGAACCGCAACCUGCUGCGUGCCUGCCUGCAGUCUUGGCAAAUAAAGUUUUCUUUGCGUGUGUCAUCAUCCGUAUGCGUGAUCAUCCAGAUAAUUUGUACAGUGCUGUGGCCUCUGGGCUUUCUCUCUUAUCAUUAAUACAACGGGCAGCUCUCAUGCCGGUCGUUUCAAUAAAAAAUAAAAUCAUCCAGACAAU